GACGAACCGUGCAAACGUUGUUCGGAAUCACUGGGCUUAAAGGGCGCGUAGGCGGGUUCCCAAGUCGGUGGUGAAAUCUUUCGGCCCAACCGGAAAAGUGCCGCCGAUACUGGGAGUCUCGAGGGAGGUAGGGGUCGAUGGAACUUCAGGUGGAGCGGUGAAAUGCGUAGAUAUCUGAAGGAACGCCGGUGGCGAAAGCGAUCGACUGGACCUCUUCUGACGCUGAGGCGCGAAAGCCAGGGGAGCAAACGGG
rnacentral:rRNA from 1 species